CCUACGGGAGGCAGCAGUGGGGAAUAUUGCGCAAUGGGCGAAAGCCUGACGCAGCGACGCCGCGUGAGGGAUGAAGGUCUUCGGAUCGUAAACCUCUGUCAGCAGGGAAGAACGGUCACUGUGCUAAUCAGCAGUGAAUUGACGGUACCGGCAAAGGAAGCACCGGCUAACUCCGUGCCAGCAGCCGCGGUAAUACGGAGGGUGCGAGCGUUAAUCGGAAUUACUGGGCGUAAAGCGCUCGUAGGCGGUAGGUCAAGUCAGGGGUGAAAUCCCCGGGCUCAACGUGGGAACUGCAUUUGAAACUGGCAAACUGGAGUGUGUGAGAGGAUAGUGGAAUUCCAGGUGUAGGGGUGAAAUGCGUAGAUAUCUGGAGGAACAUCAGUGGCGAAGGCGACUAUCUGGCACAUAACUGACGCUGAGGAGCGAAAGCGUGGGUAGCAAACAGGAUUAGAUACCCUAGUAGUC
rnacentral:rRNA from 1 species